GGUUAAGCGACUAAGCGUACACGGUGGAUGCCCUGGCAGUCAGAGGCGAUGAAGGACGUGCUAAUCUGCGAAAAGCGUCGGUAAGGUGAUAUGAACCGUUAUAACCGGCGAUGUCCGAAUGGGGAAACCCAGUGCAAUUCGUUGCACUAUCGUUAACUGAAUACAUAGGUUAACGAGGCGAACCGGGGGAACUGAAACAUCUAAGUACCCCGAGGAAAAGAAAUCAACCGAGAUUCCCCCAGUAGCGGCGAGCGAACGGGGAGCAGCCCAGAGUCUGAAUCAGCUUGUGUGUUAGUGGAACGGUCUGGAAAGUCCGACGGUACAGGGUGAUAGUCCCGUACACCAAAAUGCACAGGCUGUGAACUCGAAGAGUAGGGCGGGACACGUGGUAUCCUGUCUGAAUAUGGGGGGACCAUCCUCCAAGGCUAAAUACUCCUGACUGACCGAUAGUGAACCAGUACCGUGAGGGAAAGGCGAAAAGAACCCCGGCGAGGGGAGUGAAAAAGAACCUGAAACCGUGUACGUACAAGCAGUGGGAGCACCUUCGGGUGUGACUGCGUACCUUUUGUAUAAUGGGUCAGCGACUUAUAUUCUGUAGCAAGGUUAACCGUAUAGGGGAGCCGCAGGGAAACCGAGUCUUAACUGGGCGUUAAGUUGCAGGGUAUAGACCCGAAACCCGGUGAUCUAGCCAUGGGCAGGUUGAAGGUUGGGUAACACUAACUGGAGGACCGAACCGACUAAUGUUGAAAAAUUAGCGGAUGACUUGUGGCUGGGGGUGAAAGGCCAAUCAAACCGGGAGAUAGCUGGUUCUCCCCGAAAGCUAUUUAGGUAGCGCCUCGUGAAUUCAUCUUCGGGGGUAGAGCACUGUUUCGGCUAGGGGGUCAUCCCGACUUACCAACCCGAUGCAAACUACGAAUACCGAAGAAUGUUAUCACGGGAGACACACGGCGGGUGCUAACGUCCGUCGUGAAGAGGGAAACAACCCAGACCGCCAGCUAAGGUCCCAAAGUCAUGGUUAAGUGGGAAACGAUGUGGGAAGGCACAGACAGCCAGGAUGUUGGCUUAGAAGCAGCCAUCAUUUAAAGAAAGCGUAAUAGCUCACUGGUCGAGUCGGCCUGCGCGGAAGAUGUAACGGGGCUAAACCAUGCACCGAAGCUGCGGCAGCGACACUAUGUGUUGUUGGGUAGGGGAGCGUUCUGUAAGCCUGCGAAGGUGUGCUGUGAGGCAUGCUGGAGGUAUCAGAAGUGCGAAUGCUGACAUAAGUAACGAUAAAGCGGGUGAAAAGCCCGCUCGCCGGAAGACCAAGGGUUCCUGUCCAACGUUAAUCGGGGCAGGGUGAGUCGACCCCUAAGGCGAGGCCGAAAGGCGUAGUCGAUGGGAAACAGGUUAAUAUUCCUGUACUUGGUGUUACUGCGAAGGGGGGACGGAGAAGGCUAUGUUAGCCGGGCGACGGUUGUCCCGGUUUAAGCAUGUAGGCUGGUUGUCCAGGCAAAUCCGGAUAAUCAAGGCUGAGGUGUGAUGACGAGGCACUACGGUGCUGAAGUAACAAAUGCCCUGCUUCCAGGAAAAGCCUCUAAGCAUCAGGUAACAUUAAAUCGUACCCCAAACCGACACAGGUGGUCAGGUAGAGAAUACCAAGGCGCUUGAGAGAACUCGGGUGAAGGAACUAGGCAAAAUGGUGCCGUAACUUCGGGAGAAGGCACGCUGGUGUGUAGGUGAAGCCCCUGCGGGUGGAGCUGAGACCAGUCGAAGAUACCAGCUGGCUGCAACUGUUUAUUAAAAACACAGCACUGUGCAAACACGAAAGUGGACGUAUACGGUGUGACGCCUGCCCGGUGCCGGAAGGUUAAUUGAUGGGGUUAUCCGUAAGGAGAAGCUCUUGAUCGAAGCCCCGGUAAACGGCGGCCGUAACUAUAACGGUCCUAAGGUAGCGAAAUUCCUUGUCGGGUAAGUUCCGACCUGCACGAAUGGCGUAAUGAUGGCCAGGCUGUCUCCACCCGAGACUCAGUGAAAUUGAACUCGCUGUGAAGAUGCAGUGUACCCGCGGCAAGACGGAAAGACCCCGUGAACCUUUACUAUAGCUUGACACUGAACAUUGAGCCUUGAUGUGUAGGAUAGGUGGGAGGCUUUGAAGCGUGGACGCCAGUCUGCGUGGAGCCAACCUUGAAAUACCACCCUUUAAUGUUUGAUGUUCUAACGUUGGCCCCUGACCGGGGUUGCGGACAGUGUCUGGUGGGUAGUUUGACUGGGGCGGUCUCCUCCCAAAGCGUAACGGAGGAGCACGAAGGUUAGCUAAUCCUGGUCGGACAUCAGGAGGUUAGUGCAAUGGCAUAAGCUAGCUUGACUGCGAGCGUGACGGCGCGAGCAGGUGCGAAAGCAGGUCAUAGUGAUCCGGUGGUUCUGAAUGGAAGGGCCAUCGCUCAACGGAUAAAAGGUACUCCGGGGAUAACAGGCUGAUACCGCCCAAGAGUUCAUAUCGACGGCGGUGUUUGGCACCUCGAUGUCGGCUCAUCACAUCCUGGGGCUGAAGUAGGUCCCAAGGGUAUGGCUGUUCGCCAUUUAAAGUGGUACGCGAGCUGGGUUUAGAACGUCGUGAGACAGUUCGGUCCCUAUCUGCCGUGGGCGCUGGAGAAUUGAGGGGGGCUGCUCCUAGUACGAGAGGACCGGAGUGGACGCAUCACUGGUGUUCGGGUUGUCAUGCCAAUGGCACUGCCCGGUAGCUAAAUGCGGAAGAGAUAAGUGCUGAAAGCAUCUAAGCACGAAACUUGCCCCGAGAUGAGUUCUCCCUGAGACUAUAAGUCUCCUGAAGGAACGUUAAAGACGAUGACGUUGAUAGGCCGGGUGUGUAAGCGCAGCGAUGCGUUGAGCUAACCGGUACUAAUGAACCGUGAGGCUUAACCUU
rnacentral:rRNA from 1 species